GACAUCUGGGCGACGACGACAGUUCGAGUUGUUCAACUCUUUUCAGGGCGGGGCACUCAGCGGCGUGAUCGUCUAGUGGUU